rnacentral:rRNA from 1 species
GGUUAAGCGACUAAGCGUACACGGUGGAUGCCCUGGCAGUCAGAGGCGAUGAAGGACGUGCUAAUCUGCGAUAAGCGUCGGUAAGGUGAUAUGAACCGUUAUAACCGGCGAUUUCCGAAUGGGGAAACCCAGUGUGAUUCGUCACACUAUCAUUAACUGAAUCCAUAGGUUAAUGAGGCGAACCGGGGGAACUGAAACAUCUAAGUACCCCGAGGAAAAGAAAUCAACCGAGAUUCCCCCAGUAGCGGCGAGCGAACGGGGAGCAGCCCAGAGCCUGAAUCAGUAUGUGUGUUAGUGGAAGCGUCUGGAAAGGCGUGCGAUACAGGGUGACAGCCCCGUACACAAAAAUGCACAUGCUGUGAGCUCGAUGAGUAGGGCGGGACACGUGGUAUCCUGUCUGAAUAUGGGGGGACCAUCCUCCAAGGCUAAAUACUCCUGACUGACCGAUAGUGAACCAGUACCGUGAGGGAAAGGCGAAAAGAACCCCGGCGAGGGGAGUGAAAAAGAACCUGAAACCGUGUACGUACAAGCAGUGGGAGCCUCUUUAAUGGGGUGACUGCGUACCUUUUGUAUAAUGGGUCAGCGACUUAUAUUCUGUAGCAAGGUUAACCGAAUAGGGGAGCCGAAGGGAAACCGAGUCUUAACUGGGCGUUAAGUUGCAGGGUAUAGACCCGAAACCCGGUGAUCUAGCCAUGGGCAGGUUGAAGGUUGGGUAACACUAACUGGAGGACCGAACCGACUAAUGUUGAAAAAUUAGCGGAUGACUUGUGGCUGGGGGUGAAAGGCCAAUCAAACCGGGAGAUAGCUGGUUCUCCCCGAAAGCUAUUUAGGUAGCGCCUCGUGAAUUCAUCUCCGGGGGUAGAGCACUGUUUCGGCAAGGGGGUCAUCCCGACUUACCAACCCGAUGCAAACUGCGAAUACCGGAGAAUGUUAUCACGGGAGACACACGGCGGGUGCUAACGUCCGUCGUGAAGAGGGAAACAACCCAGACCGCCAGCUAAGGUCCCAAAGUCAUGGUUAAGUGGGAAACGAUGUGGGAAGGCCCAGACAGCCAGGAUGUUGGCUUAGAAGCAGCCAUCAUUUAAAGAAAGCGUAAUAGCUCACUGGUCGAGUCGGCCUGCGCGGAAGAUGUAACGGGGCUAAACCAUGCACCGAAGCUGCGGCAGCGACACUAUGUGUUGUUGGGUAGGGGAGCGUUCUGUAAGCCGUUGAAGGUGUGCUGUGAGGCAUGCUGGAGGUAUCAGAAGUGCGAAUGCUGACAUAAGUAACGAUAAAGCGGGUGAAAAGCCCGCUCGCCGGAAGACCAAGGGUUCCUGUCCAACGUUAAUCGGGGCAGGGUGAGUCGACCCCUAAGGCGAGGCCGAAAGGCGUAGUCGAUGGGAAACAGGUUAAUAUUCCUGUACUUGGUGUUACUGCGAAGGGGGGACGGAGAAGGCUAUGUUGGCCGGGCGACGGUUGUCCCGGUUUAAGCGUGUAGGCUGAUUUUCCAGGCAAAUCCGGAGAAUCAAGGCUGAGGCGUGAUGACGAGGCACCACGGUGCUGAAGCAACAAAUGCCCUGCUUCCAGGAAAAGCCUCUAAGCAUCAGGUAACAUCAAAUCGUACCCCAAACCGACACAGGUGGUCAGGUAGAGAAUACCAAGGCGCUUGAGAGAACUCGGGUGAAGGAACUAGGCAAAAUGGUGCCGUAACUUCGGGAGAAGGCACGCUGAUGGUAGGUGAAGCGACUUGCUCGUGGAGCUGAAAUCAGUCGAAGAUACCAGCUGGCUGCAACUGUUUAUUAAAAACACAGCACUGUGCAAACACGAAAGUGGACGUAUACGGUGUGACGCCUGCCCGGUGCCGGAAGGUUAAUUGAUGGGGUCAGCCGCAAGGCGAAGCUCUUGAUCGAAGCCCCGGUAAACGGCGGCCGUAACUAUAACGGUCCUAAGGUAGCGAAAUUCCUUGUCGGGUAAGUUCCGACCUGCACGAAUGGCGUAAUGAUGGCCAGGCUGUCUCCACCCGAGACUCAGUGAAAUUGAACUCGCUGUGAAGAUGCAGUGUACCCGCGGCAAGACGGAAAGACCCCGUGAACCUUUACUAUAGCUUGACACUGAACAUUGAGCCUUGAUGUGUAGGAUAGGUGGGAGGCUUUGAAGUGUGGACGCCAGUCUGCAUGGAGCCGACCUUGAAAUACCACCCUUUAAUGUUUGAUGUUCUAACGUGGACCCGUGAUCCGGGUUGCGGACAGUGUCUGGUGGGUAGUUUGACUGGGGCGGUCUCCUCCUAAAGAGUAACGGAGGAGCACGAAGGUUGGCUAAUCCUGGUCGGACAUCAGGAGGUUAGUGCAAUGGCAUAAGCCAGCUUGACUGCGAGCGUGACGGCGCGAGCAGGUGCGAAAGCAGGUCAUAGUGAUCCGGUGGUUCUGAAUGGAAGGGCCAUCGCUCAACGGAUAAAAGGUACUCCGGGGAUAACAGGCUGAUACCGCCCAAGAGUUCAUAUCGACGGCGGUGUUUGGCACCUCGAUGUCGGCUCAUCACAUCCUGGGGCUGAAGUAGGUCCCAAGGGUAUGGCUGUUCGCCAUUUAAAGUGGUACGCGAGCUGGGUUUAGAACGUCGUGAGACAGUUCGGUCCCUAUCUGCCGUGGGCGCUGGAGAACUGAGGGGGGCUGCUCCUAGUACGAGAGGACCGGAGUGGACGCAUCACUGGUGUUCGGGUUGUCAUGCCAAUGGCACUGCCCGGUAGCUAAAUGCGGAAGAGAUAAGUGCUGAAAGCAUCUAAGCACGAAACUUGCCCCGAGAUGAGUUCUCCCUGAGACUUUAAGUCUCCUGAAGGAACGUUGAAGACGACGACGUUGAUAGGCCGGGUGUGUAAGCGCAGCGAUGCGUUGAGCUAACCGGUACUAAUGAACCGUGAGGCUUAACCUU